AGUGAACGCUGGCGGUAGGCCUAACACAUGCAAGUCGAACGGCAGCACAGUAAGAGCUUGCUCUUACGGGUGGCGAGUGGCGGACGGGUGAGGAAUACAUCGGAAUCUACUUUUUCGUGGGGGAUAACGUAGGGAAACUUACGCUAAUACCGCAUACGACCUACGGGUGAAAGCAGGGGAUCCUCGGACCUUGCGCGAUUGAAUGAGCCGAUGUCGGAUUAGCUAGUUGGCGGGGUAAAGGCCCACCAAGGCGACGAUCCGUAGCUGGUCUGAGAGGAUGAUCAGCCACACUGGAACUGAGACACGGUCCAGACUCCUACGGGAGGCAGCAGUGGGGAAUAUUGGACAAUGGGCGCAAGCCUGAUCCAGCUAUACCGCGUGGGUGAAGAAGGCCUUCGGGUUGUAAAGCCCUUUUGUUGGGAAAGAAAAGCAGCAGGUUAAUACCCCGCUGUUCUGACGGUACCCAAAGAAUAAGCACCGGCUAACUUCGUG
rnacentral:rRNA from 1 species